ACACACAAACCCAGUGAGACUCGUGAAAGGCCUGCUCUCCGCCAUCUCCACCAUCAUGGCUGACAGACAAGCGGAGGGUGGGGAUGCUCGGUCUGCCUCAGAAACUCCCCCUCUCCAAACUUCUCAGGUAAGUUAAAAAUUGACUGGAAAAUGCAGGUAAACAGAAAAGUCUUCCUAUACAGCUGAGUUCUCCCCGCCCCUCUGCCUCCUGCAGGUCUUUACCUGUCUUCCCAGGUUCUUUUUCUUCCCUACUGCUAUUAUGGUUGCUCACCGUAGCUUCGUUCCCACAACCUUCGUAAAAUGGACCCUGUGAUAGGUGGUGUUAUGCAUCAACCUGCCAAGUCAGGGAGGGUGACGCUGUUUGAUUAAACAUGAUGCUAAAUGGUUUUGUAAGGAUGUUCUUGGACAAAGUGUUUUCAGGGACAGAGCUGGUAAAGACACUUGCUGUCCAUAGCUGUAGGGGGACGGGAGCUGGCAUCAGUCAGUGGUCAGUCUGGAGAAAAGACUGGUCUCUCUGGGCAUCAGAUUUCUCUGCUCGUGGUUGCCGUUAACAUUAGAUACUGGCUGUUUCCUGUGCCCAGACACGAGUGGACGCAUUUGCUUUGCCAAGAUGCAUGCUUUCAGGUUUUUGGACCAGAAUUUCCCAUCAGCUUUCCUGGGUCACAGAACUUCGGAACUGGGGCUAGUCUUGAUCUUCAAGCUUCCUGCUUCCUGACUUUACCCUGCAGAUCCCAGGACAUGCCACCCUCCCUAACAGAGUGGAACAAUCUCUUUAACAAGUGUCUCUCUUUGUAUAUAUGUUGUCGGUUGUCUUUGUCUGAAGUUUUCUGGUAAUGGAAAUUGAUAUUGUCUUUAAUGCAUUUUCAGUUAAAAGCGGAGAGCCAUUUGACAGUGACUUGUUAGCUGAUACUCUAUGUGAGUCCAGUGCAUAACGUGUUAAAUAAGAAUCUUGAUCUCAUGUUGACAAUGACCUGUGAGUCCCAAGGAAUCUUACUGUAUUGGGCUCUUAGCAGGCAUUUAACAGGUAUGUGCUGGAUGGAUGGACACACAGGUUCUAUCCUUUCUAUUGUGAAGGAAUUUUCACUUCUAUCAGAGCACCAGACCUUUUCCUUCCCUCCGUAUAUGAGAAUAUUAAAAUUAUUAGUUGACUGCAAAGAAAGUGCUUAGCAUUUUGUUGCUAGGAUACUACUUGGUUCAGCUACCAAGCUGUGCAUCUUAUAAUUUCCUCUGAAAGGACCAUGUGAGCCUAGGAAGCUUUGAGUGGAUGUGUAAAGAGCCAAUGAAGUCCUUGCCAGGGUGAAUGUGUUUUGUCUGACAUGGGCUUGGCAAUGACUCAUGAGAAACUGAUAAAGCCUUCCCCCUAAGGGUCAAGCUCAGGAAUGGCAACGCCUUACUCUGCUCUGUGUGCAAAUAUUAGCAAAACGUGCACAAACAAGCAACCACAGCUCCCCCCUGGUUGUCUACAGCCUGACACGGCUCAUUCAGACACCUCAUACUUAGCCUACUAACUCCGCCCCACUGUGCUGUGUGUAAUAAAGGAGCUGAGGUGCUGCCGGGUUUCUGAAGAGUUGAUGCCACUUCCUGCAAUGUGCACACUCCACUUGACCUCAGGUUUUCUGCCUCCAUAUCUGUCAUUUCCUUCCCAUCUCACCUGUCUUCUUUCCUUCACUCAGCCCCUUAGGAUGUCAAGGCACCAAACCACAAUGGAUGUGGAGGGGAACAGCAGAUUCCAAAUGUGUUCAGCCUACUGUGAGGAUCCUUAAUAUACAUUCUAGUUUUUAGUUGAUGUGUUAACUCAUGGUUUGUUUGUUUGUUUGUUUAAUUGACUCUGCUGACAUAUAUACGUACUUUGAAAAUCUAGCUUUCAACAUGGUGCUACCCAUACAAAGGAAACCCACAAGAAUGACUUAGUUUCCAAGUUUGUGUGAUGAGCAGAGAGGCAGUAUUUUUUAUUCUUCUAAGGGAAACCGGCUACUGUGGGUAGUCUGCACAUAUUGUUCCUGGACACCAUGAUUAUCCUUGUCAGAACUUUUCAUUGGCCCGACCCCUGCCCACUGCAAUGAGUCUCGUGGGUACCACGUUCUCCUUUGCUUACUUGGCAUCCACAUCUGGCCUUUCCCUUCCUGUGACAGCUGAAGGACAUAUACUCAUUCGCAAAGGAGAUUUGCUCUUUCACAACACAAUAUUGCUGGCUCAUUUUACUCUUUGGAUUCUCUUUCUUACUCUCUCAAGCAACACACAUACUAGGAGCUAUUUUCUUCAUAAAAAAUUUACAGCAAAACUACAAUUCUCUUUUGAAUUUGCUUGGCUCACUUCUCUGUGUCCCUACCAUAUAGCAUCAGGGAAUUUAUUAUGGCAAACCUUGUUGGCAUUGUUGUGUGUUUUGUUGCAUGUUCCAAGCUUUAUCUAAAACAAAGUAUCAAUAAAUGCCUUUAGAAAUAAAUUACAAUAAAAAUUUAAAUUAAGAUUAUGAGAAUUAAAGUCAGACUCAAACCUAAGUCUCUAGUUUAGGUCAAAAUGUUUAAGUCAAACUUUGGAUAUUGGUUUUCUAUUAGAAACACAGAUGUAUAGAAUUUCUAAAUUUUAAUGUGUAAUUACAUUGUGAUCAACUUGAAUAAAAGGGCUUAUAUGUUUUAAGUUAAAAUAAAAAAUUCUGGGAUGUUGUUGGUAUUGCUUAGGAUCAACCGACCAGGAUUCCACAAAACUUCAAAGCUCAAAGCUCAUGCUUGAAUGAGGUUACCAGGAGAUCAAAAGCAGGGCAUGUAUUAUGUGUUCAGAACCUACAAAUCUUAAUGACAGAGGUCAGGAUGAAAGCAUGAACUGUCUGUCCUGCCUUACUGUAUUUCAUGAGCUUGCUGAUACUUAAGUGGGGUUUUUUGUUUGUUUGUUUGUUUGUUUAAAAUAAAAAUGCAAUAUAUAAAACCUAAUGAGGUUUUAAGUCUGUUAAAUAGUCUAAAUUCAUUAUAGAGUUACAUUGAUUUAUAAUUUCUAUAUCUGAGGAAUAAUUACUGUUCUUCUAAAGAAACUGAAUUAUUUAAUGGUAGGAAACAGAGAUUGACAGUUAAAGUCUGCCAAACUCUAAUGAUGAACCUUGGCUCUAAUCUAUGAUGGGUGAUUGAAUAUUUGAAGUAGUUCCCUCUGGUUGAAUACAUAACAAUAAAGACUUGAUGAGAUUGAUUAUGCAGAGACCAGAGCU
ensembl:processed_transcript Gm9989 predicted gene 9989